rnacentral:rRNA from 1 species
AUUGAACGCUGGCGGUAGGCCUAACACAUGCAAGUCGAACGCGAAAGUCCUUCGGGAUGAGUAGAGUGGCGGACGGGUGAGUAACGCGUAGGAAUCUAUCCUGUAGUGGGGGGUAACGUCUCGAAAGGAACGCAAACACCGCAUACGCCCCCAGGGGAGCAGCGGGGGGUCUUCGGACCUCGUGCGCUAGGAGGAGCCUGCGUCGGAUUAGCUAGUUGGUGAGGUAAAGGCGCACCAAGGCGACGGGCCGUAGCCGGUCUGAGAGGGUGAUCAGCCACACCGGAACUGAGACACGGUCCGGACUCCUACGGGAGGCAGCAGUGGGGAAUAUUGCGCAAUGGGCGAAAGCCUGACGCAGCCAUACCGCGUGUGUGAAGAAGGCCUUCGGGUUGUAAAGCACUUUCAGUGGGGAGGAAAAGCUGGUGGCUAAUAUCCAUCGGCCGUGACGCUACCCACAGAAGAAGCACCGGCUAAUUCCGUGCCAGCAGCCGCCGUAACAC